ensembl:lncRNA
AGCUCAAAUGAGACACUGGCAGGAAGUUUGCUGUUUGCUACCUGAGGGCUACCUCGGUCUCUGAAAGCCGGCCUUCUGGGUGAUGGAGACGCUGAGCAGGUUGAACUGAACUACAGUUAGAAGAGAUUUCCUCAUUUGUGUGAAAACGAAAAAACGUGAAGGCCUUCUAAUGGCAAGGACCAAGCUAUCCAGGCACAAAGAGGAAACUGUGGUCAUCUGUGCUCCAGUAACUUGACUCUAGUGGAGGAGAUUGACUUGGACCUGAAUAACAAUAAUACCAAGUAGAAAGUGGAAAUGGAAAGGAAAAAAACCAAGGUCUUUGAUUGGAGCCUUUUGCCAACACUCUGACAAAUGAGGAGUCACACACAAGACAGGGGCCCCUUGGUUUGCAUGGGGAGGAUCUCAGACUGCCAUUUGAUUUUUCUGUGACUUGCUCUUUCCUAAGGAAUUCCCUAAGAAAUUAUUUCAUUACCAUUGUCACUCCUGAGGGGGUUUACCAGAGAUUAGUAGCUUUGUUUUAACUCUGGCAUAAAAUGAAUAUUUUCCCCCAACUUCCCUCCAGUUCCUUAGUUUCCACAGUAAUAUGAUAUGCACAG